AAAUUGAAGAGUUUGAUCAUGGCUCAGAUUGAACGCUGGCGGCAGGCCUAACACAUGCAAGUCGAACGGUAACAGGAAGCAGCUUGCUGCUUYGCUGACGAGUGGCGGACGGGUGAGUAAUGUCUGGGAARCUGCCUGAUGGAGGGGGAUAACUACUGGAAACGGUGGCUAAUACCGCAUAACGUCGCAAGACCAAAGAGGGGGACCUUCGGGCCUCUUGCCAUCAGAUGUGCCCAGAUGGGAUUAGCUUGUUGGUGAGGUAACGGCUCACCAAGGCGACGAUCCCUAGCUGGUCUGAGAGGAUGACCAGCCACACUGGAACUGAGACACGGUCCAGACUCCUACGGGAGGCAGCAGUGGGGAAUAUUGCACAAUGGGCG
rnacentral:rRNA from 1 species